rnacentral:pre_miRNA from 1 species
UGCUUCUAUUCUAUUCUUCUUUGGUGAUCUAACUGUAUGAAGUUUACUGAAUUCAUAAAGCUAGGUCAGCGAAGGAGAAUGGUUUCAGAAUAA